rnacentral:rRNA from 1 species
AUUGAACGCUGGCGGCAGGCCUAACACAUGCAAGUCGAGCGAGCGGCGGACGGGGGAGUAAUGUAUGGGGACUGCCCGAUCGAGGGGGAUAAAUACUGGAAACGGUAGCUAAUACCGCAUAAAAUCGGAUAACCCAUAUGGGAUUAGAUAGUAGGUGAGGCAAUGGCGCACCUAGGAGAAGAUCCCUAGCUGUUCUGAGAGGAUGAACAGCCACACUGGCACUUAUACACGGCCCAGACUCCUACGGAGGAAGCAGUGGUGAAUAUUGCACAAUGGGAGCAAGCCUGAUGCAGCCAUGCCGCGUGUAUGAAGAAGUCCCUCGGGUUGUAAAGUACUUUCAGUCGGGAGGCGUUACCUACAGAAGAAGCACCGGCUAACUCCGUGCCAGCAGCCGCGGUAAUUC